GGGCCCGCACAAGCGGUGGAGCAUGUGGCUUAAUUCGAGGCAACGCGAAGAACCUUACCUGGUCUUGACAUGCCCGUCAUAGUUUUCCGAAAGGAAUUCGUCAGUUAGGCUGGACGGUGCACAGGUGCUGCAUGGCUGUCGUCAGCUCGUGUCGUGAGAUGUUCGGUUAAGUCCGGCAACGAGCGCAACCCUCGUUCCUAGUUGCCAGCGGGUAAUGCCGGGGACUCUAGGAAGACAAACCUCGUGUAGAGGUGGGAAGGUGGGGACGACGUCAAGUCAGUAUGGCCCUUACGACCAGGGCUGCACACGUGCUACAAUGCCCAGCACAAUGGGAUGCAACACCGCGAGGUUGAGCAAAUCCACAAAACUGGGCCCAGUUCGGAUUGGAGUCUGCAACUCGACUCCAUGAAGUUGGAAUCGCUAGUAAUCGCAGUU
rnacentral:rRNA from 1 species